rnacentral:rRNA from 1 species
CUUGCUUGGUGGAUCAGUGGCGAACGGGUGAGUAACACGUGAGCAACCUGCCCUGAACUCUGGGAUAAGCGCUGGAAACGGCGUCUAAUACUGGAUAUGAGCUGCGGAGGCAUCUUCGUGGUUGGAAAGAUUUUUCGGUUUGGGAUGGGCUCGCGGCCUAUCAGCUUGUUGGUGAGGUAAUGGCUCACCAAGGCGUCGACGGGUAGCCGGCCUGAGAGGGUGACCGGCCACACUGGGACUGAGACACGGCCCAGACUCCUACGGGAGGCAGCAGUGGGGAAUAUUGCACAAUGGGCGGAAGCCUGAUGCAGCAACGCCGCGUGAGGGAUGACGGCCUUCGGGUUGUAAACCUCUUUUAGCAGGGAAGAAGCGAAAGUGACGGUACCUGCAGAAAAAGCGCCGGCUAACUACGUGCCAGCAGCCGCGGUAAUACGUAGGGCGCAAGCGUUAUCCGGAAUUAUUGGGCGUAAAGAGCUCGUAGGCGGUUUGUCGCGUCUGCUGUGAAAUCUGGGGGCUCAACCCCCAGCCUGCAGUGGGUACGGGCAGACUAGAGUGCGGUAGGGGAGAUUGGAAUUCCUGGUGUAGCGGUGGAAUGCGCAGAUAUCAGGAGGAACACCGAUGGCGAAGGCAGAUCUCUGGGCCGUAACUGACGCUGAGGAGCGAAAGGGUGGGGAGCAAACAGGCUUAGAUACCCUGGUAGUCCACCCCGUAAACGUUGGGAACUAGUUGUGGGGUCCAUUCCACGGAUUCCGUGACGCAGCUAACGCAUUAAGUUCCCCGCCUGGGGAGUACGGCCGCAAGGCUAAAACUCAAAGGAAUUGACGGGGACCCGCACAAGCGGCGGAGCAUGCGGAUUAAUUCGAUGCAACGCGAAGAACCUUACCAAGGCUUGACAUACACGAGAACGCUGCAGAAAUGUAGAACUC